rnacentral:rRNA from 1 species
AGACCCGAAACCCGGUGAUCUAGCCAUGGGCAGGUUGAAGGUUGGGUAACACUAACUGGAGGACCGAACCGACUAAUGUUGAAAAAUUAGCGGAUGACCUGUGGCUGGGGGUGAAAGGCCAAUCAAACCGGGAGAUAGCUGGUUCUCCCCGAAAGCUAUUUAGGUAGCGCCUCGUGAAUUCAUCUCCGGGGGUAGAGCACUGUUUCGGCUAGGGGGCCAUCCCGGCUUACCAACCCGAUGCAAACUGCGAAUACCGGAGAAUGUUAUCACGGGAGACACACGGCGGGUGCUAACGUCCGUCGUGAAGAGGGAAACAACCCAGACCGCCAGCUAAGGUCCCAAAGUCAUGGUUAAGUGGGAAACGAUGUGGGAAGGCCCAGACAGCCAGGAUGUUGGCUUAGAAGCAGCCAUCAUUUAAAGAAAGCGUAAUAGCUCACUGGUCGAGUCGGCCUGCGCGGAAGAUGUAACGGGGCUAAACCAUGCACCGAAGCUGCGGCAGCGAACGUAUCACUUAAAGCGAUUCAGCGGGUUACGAUUGACGGAGCGAAGCGACGUCAAAGCGUAUACAAAGUCGAGUCGGUUUAAGGAUACGUUCGUUGGGUAGGGGAGCGUUCUGUAAGCCUGUGAAGGUGUGUCGUGAGGCAUGCUGGAGGUAUCAGAAGUGCGAAUGCUGACAUAAGUAACGAUAAAGCGGGUGAAAAGCCCGCUCGCCGGAAGACCAAGGGUUCCUGUCCAACGUUAAUCGGGGCAGGGUGAGUCGACCCCUAAGGCGAGGCCGAAAGGCGUAGUCGAUGGGAAACGGGUUAAUAUUCCCGUACUUGGUGUUACUGCGAAGGGGGGACGGAGAAGGCUAUGUUGGCCGGGCGACGGUUGUCCCGGUUUAAGCGUGUAGGCUGGUUUUCCAGGCAAAUCCGGAAAAUCAAGGCUGAGGCGUGAUGACGAGGCACUACGGUGCUGAAGCAACAA